UCGUAGAUGUCCCUUCGGUGACAUUGUUGACAGGUGUUGCAUUGUACUCGUCAGCUCGUGUCGUGUGAUGUUAGGUUAAGUCCCGCAACGAGCGCAACCCUUGUCUUUAGUUGCCAUCAUUAAGUUGUGCACUCUAGAGAGAAUGCCAGAGAUACCCUGGAGGAAGGUGGGGAUGACGUCAAAUCAUCAUGCCCCUUAUGCUUAGGGCUACACACGUGCUACAAUGGGUAGUACAGAGGGUUGCCAAGCCGUAAGGUGGAGCUAAUCCCUUAAAGCUACUCUCAGUUCGGAUUGUAGGCUGAAACUCGCCUACAUGAAGCUGGAGUUACUAGUAAUCGCAGAUCAGAAUGCUGCGGUGAAUGCGUUCCCGGGUCUUGUACACACCGCCCGUCACACCUCGGGAGUUGGAGACGCCCGCAGCCGAUUAUCUCA
rnacentral:rRNA from 1 species